rnacentral:lncRNA from 1 species
GGGGCGAUGGCGGCGAGGAAGGGGCCGUGGACGGAGAAGGAGGACGCACAACUGGUAUGGUUCGUGCGCUUGCUCGGGGAACGGCGUUGGGAUUUCUUAGCUCAGGUCUCAGGUUUGCGCGGUGGCGGGUGAUCGAUCCAACCUGACCUCUACGGCCAGUCGCCAUUAAUCAUCUUCUCUUCCUCUCCCCCUGCCCCUCCGGCGCGUUCUCGGCUGUGCUUCGUGCGUGCAGGUCUCCGGCGCACCGGCAAGAGCUGCCGCCUCCGCUGGGUCAACUACCUGCACCCGGGCCUCAAGCGCGGGCGCAUCACCGCCGACGAGGAGCGCCUCAUCCUCACCCUCCACGCCGAGUGGGGGUCCCGCUGGUCCAGGAUCGCGCGGAAGCUCCCCGGCCGCACCGACAACGAGAUCAAGAACUACUGGAGGACGCACAUGAGGAAGAAGGCCCAGGAGGAGAAGAUGAUGGCCAAGAACAAGGCCUCCUCCGACUCCACCGCCGCCAACUCGCUGACGACGACGACGACCUGCUCGGCAUCCACCCCCACGGCCACCUCCUCGACCACCGACGCGCCGCAGACUAGCAUGGGCGACGAGGCCGAGGAGGAGGCCUCCACGUCGGCGACCGAGGAGAAGAAGGCGGAGGUGGUGCAGUACUGCUACGCUGUGGACAUGGAUCAGCUCUGGAACGACAUCGCCG